AUUGAACGCUGGCGGCAGGCCUAACACAUGCAAGUCGCACGAGUGGCGGACGGGUGAGUAAUGUCUGGGACACUGCCCGAUGGAGGGGGAUAACUACUGGAAACGGUAGCUAAUACCGCAUACCAUCGGAUGUGCCCAGAUGGGAUUAGCUAGUAGGUGGGGUCACGGCUCACCUAGGCGACGAUCCCUAGCUGGUCUGAGAGGAUGACCAGCCCAACGGGAAGUGAGACAUGGGCAAGACUCCUACGGGAGGCCGCAGUGGGGAAUAGUGCACAAUGGGCGCAAGCCUGAUGCAGCCAUGGCGCGUGUAUGAAGAAGGCCUUCUGGUUGUAAAGUACUUUCAGCGAGGAGGCGUUACUCGCAGAAGAAGCACCGGCUAACUCCGUGCCAGCAGCCGCGGUAAUUC
rnacentral:rRNA from 1 species